rnacentral:piRNA from 1 species
UGCCUGGACAUUGAGGAUGGAUCCGAGAG